rnacentral:rRNA from 1 species
UACGGAGGGUGCGAGCGUUAAUCGGAAUUACUGGGCGUAAAGCGCGCGUAGGCGGUUUGGUAAGCUGGAUGUGAAAGCCCUGGGCUCAACCUGGGAACUGCGUUUGGAACCACAAGACUAGAGUGUGUCAGAGGGGGGUGGAAUUCCGCGUGUAGCAGUGAAAUGCGUAGAGAUGCGGAGGAACACCGAUGGCGAAGGCAGCCCCUCGGGAUAACACUGACGCUCAUGCACGAAAGCGUGGGGAGCAAACAGGAUUAGAAACCCCA